rnacentral:rRNA from 1 species
UACGGAGGGGGCUAGCGUUGUUCGGAAUUACUGGGCGCAAAGCGCACGUAGGCGGCUUUGCAAGUCAGAGGUGAAAGCCCAGGGCUCAACCCUGGAAUUGCCUUUGAGACUGCAUCGCUAGAAUUGUGGAGAGGUUAGUGGAAUUCCGAGUGUAGAGGUGAAAUUCGUAGAUAUUCGGAAGAACACCAGUGGCGAAGGCGACUUACUGGACACAUAUUGACGCUGAGGUGCGAAAGCGUGGGGAGCAAACAGG